UCCAGCUGGAAGUGUUUGCUCGUUGGAGGUCGUCGUACUGAUAGCCGUCGAGAGGACUCGCCGUGGAACUCUCGCUCUCCCUAAGCGGCUCCUCUUCCUCUUCGGCCAACCGACCGGAGGUCACCGAGAUGUCUGCCGACGCCUCUCCCGCCCCCGGCGGGAUCGAUCUCGGCCGAGUCCACCUCCAAGAUCCCUCUCCUUCUCCCUUCUCCCUUCGCCUCAAAGAAGCCCUCGAUUCCUGCUCCCAGUUCUUCGAAACCGGCGAUUUUGGCAAGUCCGACACGGCGGUCGCUGCCGUAGUCGGCCUCCUCAAUUCCAUCGUCGAGCCCCCGCUUUCCGAUUCGGAGAGUCCCGCUCCUUGCGAGAGAGCAUCGGAGGAGGCACUCGUCGAGAUCCAAAGCUUUCUCUCAUCCCCUUCUUCGGAUCAGAUGGCUGUUGAUGCGCUCUCUCUCGAGCUGCCGAAAGUGGUGGCAAAGUUUGCAGCUUUGUCGGAUAGGUGUCGGGAGAUCGCAGGGAGCAUUAUCGACUUCCUCGUGUCCAGCUGUAGCCCACGCGACAUGCUUUCGAUUCUUUGUGAGGCAAUAGAUACCCAUAUCAGGGAGUCGAAAGAACAGACUUAUUUUAUUCUACUCUUAGGCGGCCUCUCAAAAGUAUUAGAUCGCACUCAGAGGCGUCAUGUUGAGCAAGUAAAGGUGGCAAUCCCUGUUAUUUUGAAAGUUUUGAAUGUGAUCUCGUCAGAGCCUGAUGAUGAAGAUAAAGAUUCCCUCAAUGAUUUGUUUGGUGCAGCGAUAAGCAUAGGCACAUCCAUUCAAGCAAUUUGUGAAAAAAUGGUUGGAAGAAGGCAAGAAGAGCUUCGUGCUAUACUUGGUCUUUAUGUCCUACAAAACAUGGCUCUUAUAUCAAAAAGCACACAAUCACAUAUUGUUUCAAGCUGCUGUUCGCUUGUUCUACAAUUUUCCAAGUUCCUCCCAUUUUGUGAGCUCUCCUAUUUUGGCCUUAUAACUGGAUGUGCUGUGGCUUCAAUUACUGAUGAGGUCUCUAAAGAGGAUGGCGAUGACUUCAUGGCCUGCUUUUCCUUUGCCAUGAGUGGAGCAACUCUUGCAGUGAUUUGGGGCCAUAUCUCUGAUGAAAUUGCAAAUGCUGCUGGAGAACAGUUAAUUUCUGUCCUGAACAAAAUCAGAAAUGAUUGUACUGUAAGGUGGCGAGCUAUUGGGAUGUUCAAAUAUAUACUCUCCUCAAUUGAUUAUCCCUGGGAAAUAAAAUCACACGGUGUAGAGUUACUAUUGUGUAUGAUGGAAGGAAUUAAUUCAGAAGUGUCUAGUGAUAACCAUACGGACUUCUCUUCCUUUAUGCCCAGUCUUUUUUCUGCUCUCCAGGCUGUUGAAAGAAUAAUGAUUGGCACUUCAGAUGCUUCAUUACGGAAGAAAGCCUAUUCUGCAUUAAAAAAAGUAGUCUCAGAUAUCCCAUCUUCUCACCGAUUUGACAUUUUAAGGGCUCUUAUUACAAAUAGCAAUUCUCCUUCUAUGAUUGCAAUUCUUAUUGAUCUUGUGAAGGAGGAUAUUCCCAGGGAAGUUCGUCCAAGUGACAUGUCUGAAGAUAAUGACAUCAUUCACCGACAAAAUAGGAACAUAGGUUCACCAUUUUGGAGCUCUCAUGCCCUUGAAAUAGUGGAGCUGAUACUGAAGCCUCCUAAAGGGGGUCCUCCUCCCCUCCCUGAGCAUAGUGAACCGUUUCCAGGUUAAUCUAUCCCAAACUAUGAUAAUGCCUAUGUUGUAAACCAGGUACUAUCUGCUCUCAACUUGUUCAGGUUUAUUUUGAUAAUAGAAUCUACAGGAAAAACAAACCGCACCAGUAUCCUCUCAGCAAAUACAUUGCGUAAAGUUUAUUCAGAGUGGCUCCUACCUCUACGAACAUUGGUCGCAGGAAUUCAAGCAGAAAAUGAGAAAGAUGACAUUGAAAUAGCAGAUCACAUUCUUUGUGCUUUAAAUCCUGUUCAGCUGGUACUAUAUCGUUGUAUCGAAUUGGUUGAAGACAACCUGCAACAUUCGGCGUAGGUUUUAUCCAUAUAAAGAUCUACUGACUUGUUUCCAGUUUUGUCACCUUCACAUUUGCUUGCUGCUUGUCCCGGACACCAAAAUCUUUACACCUCUCUGUACCGUUAAGCAAAACCUUUUAGAAGGCUGUAGAUUUUGACGAGAUUUCUAUUCAUGAUGAAAUGAUCAGCCCUUGUUGCAUGCCAGCUAAUAUGGAAGAGGUCUCUGCGAACUCUAGUUAAUGCGGCUGCAAAGGCUCAUCGCCCUUGGAAGUUUGAACGAGCAAGAGUAAAGAGGCACUACAUUGCCCUUUCAUGCCCAAGCCUUGUAGCUGAGUUUGGAAGUCUCUAAUGUAGAGUAUUUCACAGUGAAAACAUGUUGCAUAUUGGAGCUAGCACCUCCUUA